rnacentral:rRNA from 1 species
UACGUAGGGCGCAAGCGUUGUCCGGAUUUAUUGGGCGUAAAGAGCUCGUAGGCGGUUUGUCGCGUCUUCCGUGAAAACUGGGGGCUUAACUUCCAGCUUGCGGUGGAUACGGGCUGACUGGAGUGCGGCAGAGGGGGAUGGAAUUCCGCGUGUAGCAGUGAAAUGCGUAGAUAUGCGGAGGAACACCGAUGGCGAAGGCAAUCCCCUGGGCCUGCACUGACGCUCAUGCACGAAAGCGUGGGGAGCAAACAGG